rnacentral:lncRNA from 1 species
ACCCGCCCAAAAACCCCUCUUCCUUUUAUUUUUAACUAAUUUUAAUAAUAUAAAUAUUAGGUUAAAACAUUUUGUUGCCCUUUCCCCCACUAACGUCAAUACAUCCAAAGCGAAGCCACAAAAUAAGGCUCAAUCAGAUACCCCAAAUAAGGCUCCUAUUCUCUUUCAUUUUGAACACAGAGGAUAAAACUCCCCAACCCAGAUGCUCUCCCCAAAUCCCUAAAUCCAACGUCAGUGAUUUUUGCUAUGUAAGUUUUUUUGACGCCUUUUUUUUAAUCUUUUUCUACUAUCCUUGAUUGUGUUAAUAUCUGUUCUUCAAUUAGAAGAUCGUCUUGGUUUUUGUCGAUCAUUUUGGUAUUAUUAUUACCCUUUCUCUCUAUUUCUUUCUUGGUAUUUGAUAAUGGAUGCUUAGAUAUUAUUUUUACCGUUGCUUUUAUUUUGUUAAACAUCUUGUCUUAUUGUUUAGUUCCUUUACUUUGUUCAUCUGUUUGGUGCUUGUUAUUGAUAUUGCUGGAAUGGUUAAAGUUUGGAUCUUUUUUACAUUAUCUUUGUGGAAUUUAUUCUGAUAUGAUAAUAGAUGCUUAGAUAUUUUUAUCGUAGCUUUUAUUUUGUUGAACUACAUAUCCUAGUGUCUAGUCCCAUUACUCUGUUCCAUAUGUUUGGUGCUUGUUUUUGUUGUUGUUGAUGCUGGUAUGAUUAAAGGUUGAAUCCUUUUUUACAUUUUUGUGGAAUUUUGUGUUAUAUGAUCUAUAUGUACCAUGAAAACAACUUCUUAUAGAAAUGCAGCGUGCAAUAGGCCCUUGUGGUCCAGCCUUUCCUCGGACCCCGCACAUAGCGGGAGCUUAGUGCACCGGGCUGCCCCUUUUUAUUUUUUAUGAUCUAUAUGUAAGAGUUAUACUCGAAUUGCUUGAAAAGCUGCAUGCUUUUGACGGCUUUUUCAACAACAAUUUUUGGGCUUGUUCUGCUUUGUCUUUAAAGUUUCUACCAUGUUGGUUUGAAGAAAUAUAUUGGUUUGAAGAAUUAUCUCUGUGCCAUCUGCUUGGUGCUUGUUAUUGUUAUGGUUAAAGUUUGGAUAUUUUUACAUGUCUUUUUGGAAAUUGUUGUUGUAUGAUCUUAUGUGUAAAAGUUCCACAUGAAUGUGCUUGCAAAGCUGCCUGCCUGCUCUCACCAAAUAAUUUUUGAGCUUAUUCUGAUUUACUACUAAAGAUAUUGUGUUGUUGGUUUGAAGAUCUAUCUAUGCUUAUUGGUGAUGAGUAUAUUUACUUAAGUUGGGAAAACCAUUAUUGCUUCAUAUGCUUUCUCAAAGAAAACCUUCAGUCUUGAAACUCUUGAUCUUUCUACUAUUGUUUGACCUUUAAGUACUGCUUUUCUAAAUGCAUAUCAGUUUUCUUUGAAAAUGCAAACUUUGAUUGACUAUAGUGCAUUACUGGUCCCCUACCAUCUAUUGAUAUGUUGUUUAACAUAAUUAUCAAUUAUCUGUCUCUAUGGAUUUACUUUUCUUGCUUUUCUCAACUUUCUUCAUUGUUUGCAAGUGAAAUUGGAAAAAGAUAAUUGAGCCAAUUCUUAGCAUAUAUACUAAUUUUGCCUUUUUCAUAGAAAUGCUACUUCAACUGGGUCCUUUCACAAUUUUGCUUUCAUCUGUUGGGAACUAAGACAGUUGGCUACUUAUGUUAUGCUGAUGCUGAAUAGUACUCAUUUUGUUUGAUUUUACCUAUUAUAUUUAGCCCACUUUCUUUUUGCAUCUCCACACCAUUUAAGAAAGAUUGACAAUGCUACACUGAAGGGUUUAAGUUAUGUAAUUUACCUCUGAAUAUUUUUAUUCAAAUUAUUAAAAAAUCAAUUACACGUGAUUGUCCAAUUAUUUUAAUCAUAAGAGUUAUAUCCGGGGUGUGAAAAUUUCAGUGAACUAAGUUUUACUAUUCAAUUGUACUUGCUUAAAUCCUUGCAUGGGUUCAGUAAUGUGGCUUUCUCGGAUUUGUUAGAGUUUAUAAAAUUACCAAGAACGUCGUUACACGAAUUCAACGUCUCAACCCCGAUUUGAGACUUGAUCCUCACAUACUAAUCUUCUGUGCUCGUGCACCUGGAGAAGCUUCCUCUCCACACCAAGCUGAUAUUCAACCAAUCAAUUUUCCAUCUGAUGGUAGUAACAAUCAAGGUCAGUCCAUACCAUAUGUUACACGUCUUCUCUUUCCUCUUCUUCUCCUUUUUUUUUGUUGCUUAUUCUACCACUGCGCUCUCUCUCUCUCUCUCUCUCUCUCUCUCUCUGGCAAUGUUUGUUUUACUAGUUUUAAAGGAGAUUUAUAGUGGAGAAAGAGGGGUUGUUUGUGGAGUCAUUUUAUGGGAGUGUAGUUGAGGCAUUGGUUUACUUGACAUUAUUUGACUGUAGUUGAGGCGUUGUAGCAUAUAUGAAUCUGAUAUGUCUUCUCCGACAAUUUGGAAAUAGAGGAAUUGAAGAAUCUUCAGGGAGGGAAAAGGAACCUAGGGAGCAUAAACUAUAAAAAGUUAGUUUCUGUUUCUUUUAAGGUGUAAAGUAAACUAGUAUUAUCUUUCAUAGAUAAUUGGGUUAACUUGGUGAAAGAUCAUGGUUAAUUCGUGUAGGGUUUGGAAAAUUCUUUUGGCAUUGUGUCAGUGCAUUAUUAAUGAAAUUAUCCUGAUCUAAAGAAGAAACUUAAAGCCCAAAAUGAAGUAAAGAUGUUUGCAGAUGGGCUGACUUUCUUGUGAAAAAUGGAAAUUCUAUCAAAAUUAUGUGGUUUUACUUUGAUUAAUAAAGUAUUUCUGAAAUAAAAUUGAGGUAUUAGUGGACUACAUAUUGGUUCUAUUUUUCCAUGUUCUUUUUUGGGAACUUAGAGUUACACACCAAUAAGAUGGAAGGAUUUGAUAUUGCACCCAUAAACUCAGUAGAAUUUGAAAAAAAAAAACUUUAUGUAAGUAGGAUGUCAUUUUGUAUUUUUGGUUGUGCUUUGUGAUGCCUUUUGGUCAUCCUCAGGCACAUGUCAUCUUCAUCAUGUUACUUACAUGCUUAUGUAGAUCAAAAUCUAUGCUUGUUGAAAAUACAUUUGGCAAAAUGUGGAACAGAGUUAUACUAGAGAGGACUAAGCCUUAGCGGAACUGUCUUUUUUUUUUUUUUUACACUUUUGGAGGACCUACAGUAUUUCAAUUAGUAUUAGUGACUAAUGCUUUUUGUUGAGAAUCAUAUUUUUGUCUAAAGCUCUCUAUUUUCUGUAUACAAUCCUAUAAGCAUGUUUUGCCUAUCACAUUAAUAAAAGAAUUAACUUCAUUUUAAAGAAAAGCAUUUUGGCAAAAGAACUUUCAGAACACACUUUAGACAUAUACUAUCCAAAUAAAAAUACUAGGUUCAGUCAUUUGGAAGUAAAAGAAGAAAAAAUGAUUGUGAUUGCGUGAAGUUCGAAGGCUUAGGAGUCGGCUAUUUUGCUGCAUUUUUGGGUGAUUUUUACAGCUGUUUUGCUGCGUUUUUUUGUUGUUACUACACUUGCAUUAGGUCCGGCAUUUAGAAGUUUAAUCCUUUAUGAUAAACAUUUAUGCAAGAGAGUAGUUCAUCGGCAAAUUCAAAUUGAAUUGUAUGAUGAUUACAGUCUGAGAUUCGUAUUAACGAAAUAUGUCGUUUAGUGUACUCAGUUACCUCUCCUACUUGUCAUGUGUUUUGUCUUUUUGUUGAGAUUUGUCAAGACCCAAAACAACCGUCGUGAUGACGCAUAUCGUGGAACUAGGCAAGCCAAUUACUCAACUAUUCCAACAUAACCAAAAGCUUUGAAACAAAAUACGGAAGCAGUUAAUAUUUAAGGAAAAUCUUUAAAACAUAAAUAAAUACGCAACCCAAUACAAUCUCUCCCUAAACCGGGAUGUUACCGAGUACAUGAGCUUCUACAAUGGAAGAUAGUCAAAUACAGUGUCUAAAGAGUAAAAAAAACUGAAAUACAAGUAAAGAUAAUGAAGGAGGGUCAAGGUCUGCGAAAGUCAUGCAGCUACCUCGAUAGUCUCUCGAGAUCAUGACUCCACAAUGAGCAACCGCCGUGACUGGAAGCACCUGGAUAUCCACACGAGGUGCAGGGUGUAGCGUGAGUACAACCAUUGUCACGAUAGAAAAUGCUGAAGCUGCAAUGGUCCUACCUUAAAGGACUCCGAAGAUCACAGUACAAUUGAAACCUACGGUGAUAGUUCAGACUUACCAGUAACAGCCUACUGCUGCUACCAUGGAUGAAAAGGAUCGGGAAUACAAAGCAGUCCCGUGGACAUAUCAACAAAAAGGGAAAGCCAAUAUGACGGAUUCCGCAGCGGCUCACGGCAUGACUAGGCCAGGGAGGUGUUACGCUCUUGAGGAUAUAAACCGAGGGAAUCUAGGAAGGGUACGGAUUCAGAGAAGAAAUAUAACAGAUCUGAAGGCCGUAGAAUUUUGGAAGAAGAUGUCAACCAAAGAAUACUCCGUUAGGAGCAACUGAAGAAAACCCCGCACAAAUAUCAAUCAUGGAUUUACUGAUGAGUUCUGACAGUCAUAAAGAUGCCCUGAUGAAAGUGUGAAGUGGGGUGAGCGUACUGAGCAAUAACAUAAGUGAGGCACUGGUAACAACAAUUGGGAAAAUGGUCGAAGCAAAUAUGAUCACUUUCCGAAGAGAUGAGCUUCCUAUCUAAGGCGUGGGUCAGAACAAAACUCUACACAUCACUGUCAAAUGUGGAGAUAAGGUGGUGUCCCCAGUACUGAUUGAUGGAGGAUCAGGAUUCAAUAUCUGCCCGCUCUCUACUCUGUGAGAGUUGCAUAUCCAUCUAAGAGAAGUCAAGGAAUGUCAUGCGAGGUUAAGGGCUUUUGACGGGUCGCAAAAGGAUGUCAUUGGAGAAAUUUAUUUGGCACUGCAGAGUGGACCAAUUGAGUUUCCCAUACUAUUCCAAGUGAUGUAUAUUUCAUCUUCAUAUAACUUAUUACUAGGAAGACCUUGGAUACACAUGGAGGGGGCAGUACUAUCUACCCUACACCAAUGUAUGAAGUUCGAAUGGGGGUGUCAACAGAUCGUAGUCCACGACGAAUGGAGCCAAUCAGCUUAUCUGGAACACACAGUCCCGUUCAUAGAAGGAUUAGACGGGGUCGCUUUCCAUGCAGUAGAGUUCAUGCAGACCACCGAAAUAGAAGAGACUAAGCAAAACCUAAGAAUGCAGUCAUCAUAUAGAUCAAAGAUGGCCAUGAGGAAAAUGAUGAAAUACAGAUACAGUCCAAGAACCGAGCUGGGAGCCCAAUCAGACAGGAUAAUAGAGCUGAUUGAGCCAUAUGGGCAGAAAGGAAGAGUCGGCCUACGGUAUCAGCCAUCGACUGAGAAGGCGUGUAUCGGUAGCUUCGGGAAAAAGGAGAUUUUAUGCCAGAGCGUUUAUCGGGUACGUGUUAGAGCUCAGUGCCAGAUGACGACAUCGUCGAUGGAAUGGAAAGGCUGUUCGUGACCAUACUUGAGGAAUGUUGUGAAGGAAUUUAUAUUAUGUCACCGACCAUUCGGGAAUCUGAACUAGGAGAGGACUUGCAGAAUUCGACUGUUAGCCCGUCAUUGGUUCGCCAAGAGUCUUGGUAGUGUGGAAUUAUAAAUGUUUUGAAAAGAGCGCACGGUCAAUUGAGGCUCGGACCGUGUCUGUAGUUUUUUGUUAUUUGCCUCUUUGAACGCUCAGACGUUGCUCUUUUGAUGAAAGAAAAGAAUUGCUUUCUUAAAAUUAUUGCAAAUUUAUUUAUUGCUUCAUUUAUACUUUGUUUUUCUUUUCAGUAAUCAAAACGAUAAAAACCUGCAUUCGCGAUUAUGACAUAUAACGAAACCCUCGAGCAAAGCGAUCCAACUUACGAGGAGUACGAUGAGAGUAUGAUGCCAGAUAAUCUCCCAAGAGAGAUCGAACAACUGGAAAGCCAGAGAAAGCCUAAGCUUGAAGAGACAGAAGUGGUCAACCUCGGAAGCGAAGAAGAUAUAAAAGAAACCCGAAACAACAUCCAUCUAGAAGUAGAGCAGAAUGAAGAAUUGGUUAAGCUCCUCCGAAGUACAUUGAUAUAUUCACAUGGUCGUAUGAUGACAUACCUGGGUUAAGUACUGAUAUUGUUCGCACCGAUUGCCUAUCGAUCAUGCUAGACCACCAGUCAAACAAAAACCCAUAAAAUUCAAACUAGACUUGAGUUUAAGGAUAAAGGAAGAAGUAACCAAGCAAAUAGAGGUGAAUGUAGUGAGGGCAAUAAAUUAUCCCACAUGGUUGGCGAAUAUCGUCCCAGUGCCCAAGAAGGAUGGAAUGAUCAAGAUAUGUGUAGAUUAUCGAGAUUUCAACAAAGCCAGCCUAAAAGACAAUUUCUUUUUACCUAAUAUACAUAUCCUCAUCGACAAAUACGUGAAGCAUGAACUGCAUUCGCUCGUGGAUUGUUUCUCUGGGUACCACCAGAUCCGGAUGCACGAAAAAGAUGCAGAAAAGACAGAUUUUACUACACCUAGGGGAGUCUACUGCUAUAGAUUCAUGCCCUUCGGUCUCAAAAAUACUGGCGCUACUUACAUGAAGGCCAUGACAACCCUCUUUCACGACAUGAUUCACAAAGAGAUCGAGGAAUAUGUGGAUGACAUCAUCAUCAAGUCUCGGAAGAGUUCAAAACAUUUUGAUGAUAUUAGGAAGUUUUUCGAACGUUUGUGGAGGUAUAGUUUGAAGUUGAAUCCUGCAAAAUGCGCAUUCGGAGUCCCUGUUGGAAAAUUGCUAGGUUUCAUCAUUAGCAAAAAAGGGAUAGAGUUAGAUCCCUCAAAGAUCAAAGCUAUUCAAGAGUUGCCACCGCCCAAAAGUAAGAAGGAUGUGAUGAGUUUCAUGGGUAGAUUGAAUUACAUCAGCCGUUUCAUAGCCGAGUCUACAGUAAUUUGUGAACCUAUCAUUAAGCUGUUGAAGAAACAUGCUGCCACAAAAUAGACAGAAGAGUGUCAGAAAGCCAUCAACGGAAUUAAGGAGUAUUUGUCAAAUCCGCUAGUGUUGGUUCCUCCCGGGCCUAGGAAGCCACUGUUGCUGUGCCUGCCGGUCUUGGACAAUAUUUUGGAUGUGUUGGGACAACAUGACGAAAGCGGAAGACAGAGUAGGCCAUCUACAACUUAAGCAAGAAAUUCACACCGUGUAAGGCCAAAUACACUUUGAUUGAGCGCACUUACUGUGCUUUGACUUGGAUCGCCCAGAAACUGAGGCAUUACAUGUUAGCAUACACCACGCAUUUGAUAUCCUGACUCGACCCGCUCAAGUAUAUCUUUCAGAAGCCAAUGCCUAUAGGAAAACUAGCUAAAUGGAAAAUUCUUCUCAGCGAAUUUGACAUUGUGCACAUAACACAGAAGGCCAUCAAAGGAAAAGCUUUAGCCAACCACCUUGUAGAGAAUCCAGUGGACAAGGAUUAUGAGUUGCGCACUGUGUACUUUCUCGACGAGGAAGUAUUGUUUGCCGGAGAAGAUAUUGCAGAGUCAUACCUUGGAUGGAGAAUGUUCUUCGACGGAGCGGCAAACUUCAAAGGAGUGGGAAUUAGGGAUGUCCUAAUUUCGGAAUCAGGACAAAACUAUCCAGCAUCAGCAAAGAUAAGGUUCCCUUGCACCAAUAAUAUGGUCGAAUACGAAGAGUGCAUCAUUGGGAUCAAGAUGGCAGUUGACAUGAACAUCAAAGAGCUCUUGGUCAUAGGGGAUUAUGAUCUAUUAAUACAUCAAGUCCAAGGGGAGUGUUCUACCAAGAAAGUUAAGAUCCUUCCAUACCUGCACUGUGUAAAAGAGUUAUGCAUGAAGUUCACAAAGCUCGAGUUUAAGCACGUUCCCAAGAUCCAUAAAGAGUUUGUCGAUACUCUUGCAACCCUAUCAUCCAUGAUUUAGCAUCUAGAUAAGAAUUACAUCGACCCUAUUGAGGUAAAAACCAGAGAUCAACAUGCAUACUACUUUCAUAUAGACGAAGAGCCAGAAUGUUGACCGUGGUACCACGAAAUGAAAAGGUUCCUCGAAACAUGAGAGUACCCAGAGAGUGCUACAGAUAGUCAAAAGUGAGCGCUCAGAAGGCUGGCAAAUCACUUUUUCCUCGACGAGGAAGCCCUGCAUAAAAUGACCCCAAACUUUGGUCUGUUGAGAUGUGUAGAUGCCGCUGAAGCAACCAAAUUGUUAGAAGAAAUACAUAUGGGAACAUGCAGACCCCACAUGAACGGCUUCACCUUAGCCAAGGGGAUUUCACGGGGAUUUCAUCUGGGUUCCGCCUAAUGAGUUCAAUGUAAUGGGUUCGCGUUGGCCGCUCGCCGCUGUGAUUGGACCUAUAGAGCCCGCCACAUAAAAUGGGCACCGUUUCAUCUUAGUAGUCAUUGACUGCUUCACCAAAUGAGUCGAAGCAUCUACCUACAACACAGUCAUAAAGAAAGUGCUGGCAGAUGUUGUUCGUAACAACAUCGUCUGCCGAUUUGGGAUACCUGAGUCAAUCAUCACUGACAAUGCAGAUAAUGUCAACAGUGAUCUCAUGAGAGAAAUUUGUGAGAAGUUCAGAAUUGUCCAGCGCAACUCUACAGCCUACAGCUACAAAUGAAUGGAGCAGUUGAACCAGCCAACAAAAACAUCAAAAGGAGUCUGCGGAAGAUAGUGGACAAUAAUAGGCAAUGGCACGAGAAGUUAUCCUUCUCCUUACUAGGUUAUCGAACCACCACGAGGAUAUCCACUGGGGAAAUGCCAUACCUAUUGGUAUAUAGAACCGAAGUAGAGCGUUCUCAAGGCUGUUAGAAAAGUAUGGAGUUCGCCAUAAGGUUGCCACACCUUACCACCCGCAAAUGAACGGGCAAGUGGAAGUGUCCAAUAGGGAAAUCAAAAGUGUCCUGACCAAGACAGUGAAUGCGACUCGGACUAAUUGGGCAAGGAAGUUGGAUGAUGCGUUAUGGGCUUACCGCACAACAUUUAAAACUCUAAUUGGUAUGUCUCUGUAUAAGUUGGUGUUUGGAAAAGCAUGCCAUCUUUCGGUGGAGCUUGAGCAUAAAGCCUUAUGGGCACUGCGGCAGUUGAAUUUGGAUAUGGAAACCGCGGGCACAAGUAGACCUACAGAAUUACAUGAACUCGAGGAGUUCCCAUUCCAGGCAUUUUAGUGUCACGCCCCGACCUCGGUCGAGCAAGACUGUACAAUACCUUCUACCCAAACUUACUCAUAAAUAAAGAGAAGAUCUAUUUCAUUAAUUAGACAGUGAGGAGACUCAUGUGAACAACAACACCAAUUCAUUAUCAGCAGUUUCAUCAGCUAUAAGUUAUAAAAUACAUACACUUUCAUAGUUUUGUGCGGAACGUGUGAUGCAGUUACCAAAAUUACUAGUUUAUCUUUCUCAACACCGACAUACCACCCACACAAUAUCUACGGAGCCUCUAAUAGAUACAAAAGAGUAUGAUGAUAGUGCCGACAAUAAGGCCCCGGAUAUACCUCAAAACAUAAUACAUAAGGACAAAAUUUAUACGAUCCCGAAUGAGGUGGGGCUCACCAAGUCAGCUGGGGAGAGGGUGUACCGCUAUCAACGAUCAAAGCCGCCUGCUGUGGAACCACCUGCAUCCGUUUAAGACGCAGCGCCCCCGGCAAAAGGGACGUUAGUACAUGUGGAAUAGUACUAGUAUGAAUGAGUAAGCACCCUCUCAAUAGAACGAAUGAUGAAACAAGAAUGAACAAUCAUAAAAUCAAUGGGAAGUCUCAAACAAUACCCAAAACAUCAAGUUAGGAAUAAGACAAGGUUUCAAGUGAUUUCCAUAUUUUAAGUUGGGAGACCUUUAGUAUCGAUAUUCCAUCGUUUACAAUUUCCAACAUAGUCACCACCAUGUCUGCGGCAUGGCGUCUGAUCACAACCCGAUUGGCUAGGCCGUCUCAUACGAGACAUCAACCACAAUCACAAUUUCAAUUUCAAUUUCCAACACAAUCACCACCAUGUGUGCGGCAUGGCGUCCGAUCACGACCCGAUCGGCUAGGCCGCUGCAUCCGAGACAUUGUCCUCUUCUAUCAAUCAUCCCAUUUCAUACCUCUUUCACAUCUUUUUAUUUCAUUGGCACUAGUGGUCACAAUUGUAAUAUCCCCCUUUUGUGUGGCGUGUUGGCCAUAUUUCAUAUUUUAUAUUUUGUGCUUACCUUUUCACUUUCAACCAUCAUCAUUGAUUUUCAACAAGGCGUUUACGUUCAAGUCACUAAGCAUACAAGUUAGCAAACAAGAGUCUUAAGUGCAUUGAGAUUUCUUACACAAUUGGCAUUCGCUAUAAUUUGAAACGCAACAUGAGGCCAUAACAUUUAGCUAAGCAACCAAUAUUUUGAACACAUUACCAAAUAGUAGUACAACUUAACAAGAGCAUUGGGAAUACAUAUUGAACACAAAAGUCUUUUGACACAAAGUUUAUUCGGAAAAAUCGAUUCAUAAUGAGUAACUUGGGAAUUACAAUGACAUUGUGCGGUUCAAUUCUAUGGGAAGAGUUUAGCCAACAUACCUCACUUGAUCUUCCUUAAAUACUAAAAUGUUCCGAAAAUUAUAGCAACUUCGAUCUAUUUCAGAAUUAUAACAAAUUGAACCAAAAAUUAGGAAGAUGAUCAUGGUUCCAGCUCAUUUGAGCGUUUUAUCAAACACUAGGUGUGCAUUAAGAUUUCAAGGCCCUACAAUGGUGGAUUCCAUCAUCCACCCGUUAUCUACCAUUUUUAGCCCAAUAAUCGUCCUACACCCUUAGAUAACACAUGCAUGCAAGAGGGACAACUACCAUACCCAAGAAUUUCCUUACUAAUUACCUAUUUUUAGUUAAAUUUCGAAAUUGAGGGUUAGGGUAUAGAAUCUUACCUCUAGGAUGAAGACCUAGUAUUUUUUCCUUGUUAAUCUUCCAAGAUUUGAGUAAGAAUUGAAGAACAAUUAGUUGAGGAACUCUCUCCCUCUCUAGAGCACUUUCUCACUCUCAAAAUGUCAGGUUCUUAUUUAAGAAACGGUCCAUGGAGUCUAUAUAACGAAAUGGGGUCGGGUUAUAAAAACCAAAAAAAUGAAGCUCUGAAACACAAUCUGCGGUCGCAUAAUAAUUUUGCGGUCCGCGAAAUGGACCGCGAAAUGGCCCUCUGGAACUGGGCAUCGCUGCCUGGGUAUGCGGCUGUUCUGCGGUCCGCAUAUCGAUUAUGCGGUGCAAAGCGGACCGCAGAAUCUCCUCCCAGAAUUCCUCAUGUCGAUCCUGCGAUGCAAUCUGUGGACCGCAUAAUGGCCCACAAAUUUUGCUUCAGUUUCAACUUCACUCUGUGGCCAUUCUGCGACCGCAUAGUGGGCCGCAGAAAUGUUUUUUUCUGCCAACAUUUUCCUUUAACUCCCUAGCGCACUGUUCAACCCAAAAAGUCCGUACCGCGGCGAGCAAGCUCGUUGCGAAGAACUUCUACCAUCACCAAACAUAUUAGCCUACCUCGUUACCACGGAACCUCGGGUUUUAGGUGAAAUUUUAUAGGGACUUAUAUCCUCCCCCACUUAAGAUCAUUCAUCCUCGAAUGAGGGUCUAAAUCCGUCAUUAGUACUCAACAUGACCCAGCUGUUACUUCACACACACUAGUAGUCCCAAUUUUUGACUAACUCCCCAAAUUCCCAAAAUGUUCGGCAGAGUUUCCCUUGUAACUGGCCUAUCCACCUGUCAGAGAAUCCCAGAAACCAAUCCUAACAACAUGUACAUAAUCCAACGAUGCAACAUAUUAUGAAACAACACCAACCGUGGCCUCAUAAGCAAUAUAUUCCCAGAAAGGAAAUAUCCUGCCUGUACAAGUGAUACCUAGUUCAUAGGAAUUAAUUUCAUGGAAACUAUUACAUAGCUAUUCAAAUAAAUGAGGGUACUUCUUUUUCAUUUCUUCCUCGGCCUCCCAGGUGGCCUCUUUAACCUGUUGGUUUCGCCAUAACACUUUCACGGAGGCAAUUUCUUUAUUUCUUAGAUUUCGGACUUGCCUAUCAAGAAUGGCAACUGAAAUUUCUUCAUAGGUCAGUUCUUCAUAUACCUCAAUAGUCUCUACUAGCACAAUAACCGACGGAUCUCCAACCACCUUCUUUAACAUAAACACAUUGAAUACCGGGUGCACUAAUGACAUCUCAGGUGGUAGCUCAAGCUUGUACGCCACCUGACCAAUCCUUUGAAUGUUUAUGUACGGUCCGACAUACCCCGGACUCAAUUUCCCUUUCUUACCAAACCGCAUUAUACCCUUCAUGGGGGAAACCUUCAAGAAUACCCAAUCAUCUUCUUUGAACUCCAAAUAUCUGCGACGAACGUCCUUAUAGGACUUUUGACGACUCUGAGCUUUUUUCAACCGAUCCUUAAUGACCUUAACCUUCUCCAUAGCCUGGUGCAUGAGGUCUGGUCCUAUCGAUUCUGCUUCCCCAAUAUCGAACCACCCAAUAGGAGAUCUACAUCUCCUACCAUAUAAAGCCUCGAAUGGUGCCAUCUGAAUACUAGCAUGGUAACUGUUGUUGUAGGCAAAUUCUAUGAGUGGCAAAUGAUCGUCCCCGCUGCCCUUGAAGUCAAGAACACAAGCGCGCAACAUAUCCUCAAGCGUCUGAAUAGUCCGCUCUGCCUGCCCGUCAGUCUACGGGUGAAAGGUUGUACUAAGAUUCACCUGAGUACCCAAACCUUGCUGAAAUUUCUUUCAAAAAUUAGCCGUGAACUGUGCCCCUCGAUCCGAAAUGAUAGAAACUAGAGUGCCAUGCAACCUGACUAUUUCCUUGAUAUACAACUGAGCAUAUUGUUCCGCUGUGUCGGUAGAUUUAACUGGCAAGAAGUGUGUUGACUUCAUGAGUCGAUCCACAAUCACCCAAAUCGAGUCGAAUUUGCGAGGAGUGCGAGGUAGUCCUACCACAAAGUCCAUGUUAAUCAUUUUCCACUUCCACAUUGGAAUUUCAAUGCUCUACGCCAACCCACCGGGCCUUUGGUGUUCGGCCUUCACUUGCUUACAAUUGGGACAUCUUUCCACAAAGUCCGCUAUGUUCAUCUUCAUAUCGUUCCACAAAUAGACUUCUCUAAGAUCAUGAUACAUCUUUGUAGAGCCAGGUGCACGGAAUACCUAGAAGUUUGAGCCUCAGUCAUGAUUCUUUAACGGAGAUCAUCAACAUUUGGAACACAUAGUCGCCUUUGGAACCUUAGUGUACCAUCAUCCAUGCCAAGAGAAAAGGCCAUGGUCUUAUGUUUUUGAACCCCCGCCUUCAAUUGUACCAACAAUAGAUCGUUGAAUUGCUUCUCUUUGACUUCCACCACAAGCGACGAUUCAGCCCUAUUUUGCACACUCACCCCUCCUUCACUAGAGUCCGCAAGGCGAACUUCUAAACUAGCCAACCGAUGAACCUCCUUAGCCAACGGCCUUUGAUAUGCCUCCAAGUAAGCAAAACUGCCCAUAGAUUUUCGGCUAAGAGUAUCCGCCACAACAUUGACCAUCCCCGGGUGAUACAGGAUGUCGAUGUCAUAAUCCUUGAGUAACUCAAGCCAUCUUCUUGUUACACCCCAUAUUUUCGUAUGUGGAAGUUCGCCAUAAAUAAAUUGAUGAAAGCUCGAAAAUGAGAUGUUACAUCCCGCAUUUUUUUUGUACAUUAAAGUUUUGUCGUAAGUUAAUCGAUGUAAGCUCGAGAAUGAGAUUAUUUUGAGAUUAUAAGUAUUAUGUUAUUUCAAACAAGGGAUAAGUAAAUUCAUGAAGGCGAGAGGGUAAGCGAAUCGAAGAAAAUAAAUUUCGUCGAAGUUUGACAUUUUGGGAUAUAAUACGGCCCGAGCUAAAAUACCCGAUAUUUAUGGACUAGUGCCAUACAAGGUACCACAUGACCAUGAUAGUAAGAUGUAUAAAGUAUGACAAAAGUGAGUAGUAUUUUAAGUAAUUUGAGAUAAUUCUUAAUUAUGUGGAUUUUUGGUUAAUUGCGGAUUUUUGAUGGAAGAUUAACCAUGUAAUUAAGGAAAUGGGUGGAUAAACUUUGGAUAAGCUUAAAUCCACCCCAACGUGGCAGCAACCCAUGUCUAAAGUAAUGACUAUUGAAUUACAAAACAAGGUGUCAUAUUUAGAGGAAAUUGUUGGCCAAGUAAGCCUUAUAAAGUGGGUCCUACAUCCAUUAUAAUAAAAGACAUCUCUAACAAAGAGAGAUACAUCUCUAACAAAGAGAGAUGAUAUGAAAUGUGAGAUUUCCAUAAGAAAUUUUCAGCAAGGUUCAUUCCCCAUUUCAAAAAUGAAAGUAUACUAUGCACUUAGCCCUAAAAAACAUGGAAAGAAUGACUAUGUUAGUCAUCUUUACAAUUGUAUUCAAUUGAUAUCAAAAAUCCAUUUUUGGAGGAGAUUUUGGAGUUCAUAUGGUACUUUAUGUUAAAAUAGCAACGACAGUUCUUAAAAUUGUGAAGAAAUUCAUACGAAAUUAUACUGCGUAAUAGUGACGGGAUUUUGCGAUUCUAAAGGAGUACGGUGCAACCUUUUCCAAGAAUAUCAUAUGAAUUUUUUCCUACUCCAUGUAUGUUAAGGCUAUCCCUUAUUUCUUUUGGCAUGAUCCAUAUGACACAAACGAAACGAGAAAAUGCACAAUUUUCAUAUACGACUCUAUUCAUAGAAAUAUUAGAGAUGCUUAUGUUCUUGAUUCCCCACGUGUCAUGUUAUUUUAUNNNNNNNNNNNNNNUNAGUCAUUUACUCUAUAUUUCUUCCAUGUCUAUUUUGUACUUAUUUAUGUGCCUUACAUACUCGGUACAUCAUUUGUGCUGACGUCCCUUUUGUCUGGGGACACAACGUUUUAUUUGCUAUCAAAUACACCACCACUUGACACAUUUCAUUUCAUAGACAGGUCGAGAGUCCUCCAAAUAGGCUAUCAGCUCAGCGGAAGGUUUUGCUGCGCUCCAUUUGCUCCGGAGUUGCUUAUGUGGUCAAUAUGAUUAGGACAUGUACUGAUUAGUAUGUCGGGGCCGUGUCCCGACCUUUAUGACAUUUAUGUACUCUUAGAGGUUUGUAGACAUAUGUCGAAUACGUGAAAGAUUGUACGGCCUUGUCGGCCUAUGUUUUGAGUUUAUAAAUGAUCAUGUUGGCCUAUUAGGCCCGUAUGUCACAUGUAUAUGAUGAUGUAAUAAGAAAGAUACGUUACGUUGGUACUCGGUUGAGUAAGGUACCGGGUGCCCGUCGUGGCCCAUCGGUUUGAGUCGUGACACUUCUCUGCCUCAAAUUCAAUUCCUUCUGUUUGAAAAUAUAUUGAAGGCUCUUAUGGUCCGUGAAUACAUCCACAUGGACCCCAUACAAAUAAUGACGCCAAAUCUUCAAUGCAAAGACCACCGCUGCAAGCUCUAAGUCUAUGUGUUGGAUAGUUCUUUUCAUGAUUUUUGAGUUGCCUAGAAGCAUACGCUAUCACCUUUCCAUGUUGCAUUAAUACACACCCAAGUCCGAUCCUUGAAGCAUCGCACUAUACCAAAAACCCAUCCGUACCAUGUAGUUAAUCUUGAUUUCAACUCUUGGAAUCUCCUUUCACAAGCAACUGACCAUUGGAAUUUAACCGCCUUCUACGUCAAUUUAGUCAACGGAGAGGCAAGAGUGGAGAACCCCUCCACAAAUUUCAUGUAAUAUCCAGCUAAGCCCAAGAAACUGCGAAUCUUUGUUGGAGUAGUAGGUCUAGGCCAAUUCUUCACGACUGAAUUUUCUGGGGGUCAACCUCAAUUCCUUAUCUAGAGACAACAUGACUCAAGAAUGUAACAGAUUCGAGCCAAAAUUCACAUUUCGAAAACUUAGCAUAUAAUUGGUAUUGAUACAGAGACUACAAAACUGCCCUGAGAUGAUCGGCAUGAUCCUCCCGACUCCGCGAAUAAACAAGAAUAUCGUCAAUAAACAUAAUCACAAAGGAGUCGAGGAAAGGUUUGAAGACCCGAUUCAUAAUAUCCAUGAAAGCUGCGGGGGCAUUUGUUAGCCCGAAAGACAUUACAAGAAAUUCAAAGUGCCCAUACCGUGUCCUAAAAGCUAUUUUCGGAAUAUCAUGCUCCUUGAUCUUCAACUGGUGAUACCCGGAUCUUAAAUCGAUCUUGUAGAAGUACUUAGCACCCUGCAAUGUGUCAAACAAGUCAUCUAUCAUUGGUGUGGGUACUUAUUUUAUAUUGUAACCUUAUUGAGCGGCCGAUAGUCAAUACAGAUUCUUAGCGACCCAUCCUUCUUUCUUACAAAUAGAACUGGUGCGCCCCAAGGCGACACACUCGGCCGGAUGAAACCCUUCUCUGACAAAUCUUUCAAUUGUUCUAUUAGGUCUUUCAAUUCUGCCGGUGCCAUUCUGUAGGGUGGAAUAGAUAUAGGCUGCGUGCCUGGCAUCACAUCAAUACCAAAAUCAAUCUCCCUAUUUGCCGGGAUCCCAGGGAGCUCAAGUGUAGGUGCCUCAGCAUCGGUGUCCGUAACCCCGACCAAAUGGUAGAUACACCCCUUGUAAAUCAUCUUUGUGGCCUUAAGGUAAGAAAUAAACCUACCCUUUGGAACCACAUUAUCCCCCUUCCAUUCAAUUACUGACUCGGUUGGAAAUUCACACCUAACGGUUCUGGUGCGACAGUCAAGCUUAGCGAAACAUGAAUAAAGCUAAUCCAUCCCCAUUAUUACAUCAAAAUUGACCAUCCCCAAUUCAAUGAGAUCGGCCAUGGUUUCUCGACCACGCACCGUGAUAACACAACCCCUAUACACCCGCGCGACCACAAUAGACUCACCAACCAGAGUAGAUACAGAGAACGACUCAUGGAGCAGUUCCGGUUCUAUCCCAAAUUCCAUAGCAACAUAGGGAGUAACAUAGGACAAAGUGAAACCGGGAUCAAUAAGAGCAUACACAUCAUGAGAUUGGACAGUCAAUAUACCUGUGACAACAUCUGGAGAAGCCUCUGCACUCUGGCGACCGCUCAUAGCAUAGAAACAGUUGGGUCCUCUCGAACUCUGCGUACCACCCCUAGCUGCACCAGACCUUGCGGGUGCUGGAGUGCCUGGGGCUGGAGGAGGUGCUGAGGACGUAGUAGCUACAGAACUAGCUGGCUGUGCUGUACCCCUUCCCACACCCUGGCGGGGCGAACGACAAUCCCUUUGAAUGUGACCCCUCAAUCAACACCCGUAGCAUAUGUGUAGGUCAAUGUAAUAGAUUUCCAAGUGCAUCUUCCCACACCUAGGGCAUGGGGGCCUCCGCUGCUGCUGGAAACUCCCACCAGACUGACCCUGUUGGUAGGAUCCCCUGUUGCCCUGACCGGGCCUAAAACGACUCCACUGCUGCUGACUAGGCCCCGAUGGCGGUGCACUGACUGAAGAAUAAGAAAAAGACUGGGAUGGCACUGAUGACCCUCCCCUGAAUGUUUACCUGCCACCACCACCAAAAGAACCAUCUAAGUUUCCCGCAGACCGGGCCUUACUGCUACCCUCACGCUCCAUUAUGUUCUUCAACUUACGAUUCUCUGUAGCUUCAGAAAAUGCCACCAUCUUCCCAUAGUUCAUAUCAGAAUUCAAGGCAGCUGUGGCGGCCUCAUUGAUAACCAAUGGGCUAAGGCCCUGCACAAACCGGUGCACUCUAGCCUCCAUAGUGGGCAUCAUGUGAAUAGCAUACUUGGACAAGCGCGUGAACUCCAUAUGGUACUCCCACACUCUUGCUACCUUGUUUUAGGUUCUCAAGCUCAGCAGAACGGGCUUCCUUAGUCUGGGGAAGCAAGAUAUGAUCCAUGAAAGCGUCGGCAGACUCACUCCACCUUGCCUGAAGGCUCCCCUCCUCACGGGAGAGUUCUCCCACAUCUCAAACCAUGAAUAGGCCACACCUUUUAGGUGGUAGGAGGCCAAAUCCACUCCCUCUGUCUCAGUAGCAUACAUAUCUCUGUGGGUCUUAUGCAUCUCAUCGAUGAAAUCCUGGGGGUCCUCCUCGGGAUCAGUACCAGUGAACACUGGAUGAUCUAACUGAAGAAACCUAUUCACCGUAGAACAAGUAGAGUCCCCUUGCUGACUAGAAGAAGUGGGUGCGACAUUCGACCUCUAGGCCUAGGAAGUCACUAUUUGAGCCAUCAUCUGUAUGGCACCCAUAAGAUCCCCAUCAGAAACAUCGAGACCGGAAGCUGGGGCUGGAGGUGGAACCGGAAUAUUAGUUGGAGGAUUCAUUGAACCCUCAUCAGGUGUAGGAACUAGUGCAGCCUGAGCAGGAAUAGUAGAACCCUUAUCAGGUGUAGGAACUAGUGCAGUGGUGUAGUAAUUGGGGGAAUAUUCUCACCCCUCGGGUGUUCACCCGCAUCAUCAAUGAUAGAAUCAACCGCCAUUCCUGGGGUAACAUCGGCUCCUUGGCCAGUUCUUGCCUUCUUCCUAGGCGCCAUUUACUGAAAGUUAGAGUAAUACACGAGUUAAAGGAGGAACAAUCGAAUAUUCAGCUUUAUCGUACGAUCAAGAACAUCAAAGAAGGGUAUUAUUCCUAAAUGUCCAAGUAGCCUCCUAAUUAUAGAUGUGGUCGACAAUACACCGAUAAGAAGGACUCUACUAGACACGGCUCUGAGACAUCCUAAGACACUUUAAAACCUUAGGCUCUGAUACCAAGUUUGUCACGCUUCGACCUCGGGGAGCGCGACCGGCGCUCAAUAGAGAUAACCCGGACGAGCAAGCCUAUACAGUACCUUCUACCCAAACUCACUCAUGAAUAAAGAGAAUAUCUAUUUCAUUAAUUAGAUAGUGAGGAGAUUCAUGUCAACAACAACACCAAUUCAUUAUCAGCAGUUUCAUCAGCUAUAAGUUUCAGAAUACAUACACUUUCAUAGUUUGGUGCGGAACGUGUGAUGCAGUUACCAAAAUUACUAGUUUGACAUUCCCAACACUUACAUACCACCCACACAAUAUCUACGAAGCCUCUAAAAGAUACAAAAGAGUACGAUGAUAGUGCCGGCAAUAAGGCCCCGGCUAUACCUCAAAACAUAAUACAUAAGGACAAAAGAUAUACGACCUCGAAUGAGGUGGGGCUGACCAAGUCAUCUGGGGAGAAGUUGUACCGCCUGCUGUGAAACCACCUGCUGUGGAACCACCUGCAUCCAUUUAAGAUGCAGCGCCCCCGGCAAAAGGGACGUUAGUACCUGUGGAAUAGUACUAGUAUGAAUGACUAAGCACUCUCUCAAUAGAACGAAUGAUGAAACAAGAAUGAACAAUCAUAAAAUCAAUAGGAUACUCAAACAAUACCCAAAACAUCAAGUUAGGAAUAAGACAAGGUUUCAAGUGAUUUCCAUAUUUUAAGUUGGGAGACCUUUAGUAUCGAUAUUCCAUCGUUUACAAUUUCCAACACAGUCACCACUAUGUCUGCGGCAUGGCGUCCGAUCACAACCCGAUUGGCUAGGCCGUCUCAUAUGAGACAUCAACCACAAUCACAAUUUCAAUUUCAAUUUCCAACACAAUCACCACCAUGUGUGCGGUAUGACGUCUGAUCACGACCCGAUCGGCUAGGCCGCUGCAUCCGAGACAUUGUCCUCUUCUAUCAAUCAUCCCAUUUCAUACCUCUUUCACAUCUUUUUAUUUCAUUGGCACUAGUGGUCACAAUUGUAAUAUCCCCUUUUUGUGUGGCGUGUUGGCCAUAUUUCAUAUUUUAUAUUUCGUGCUCACCUUUUCACUUUCAACCAUCAUCAUUGAUUUUCAACAACAAGGCAUUUACGUUCAAGACACUAAGCAUACAUGUGAGCAAAAAAGAGUCUUAAGUACAUUGAGAUUUCUUACACAAUUGGCAUUAGCUAUCAUUUGAAACGCAACUUGAGGCCAUAGCAUUUAACUAAGCAACCAAUACUUUGAACACAUUAACAAAUAGUAGUACAACUUAACAAGAGCAUUGGGAAUACAUAUUGAACACAAAAGUCUUUUGAUACAAAGUUUAUUCGGAUUAAUCGAUUCAUAAUGCGUAACUUGGGACUUACAAUGACAUUGUGGGGGUUAAAUUCUAAGGGAAGGUUAUAACCAACAUACCUCACUUGAGCUUCCUUAAACUCUAAAAUGUUUCGGAAAUUUUAGCAACUUCGAUCUAUUUCAGAAAUAUAACAAAUUGAACUAAAAAUUAGGAAAAUGAUCAUGUUUUCAACUCAUUUGUGCGUUUUAUCAAACACUAGGUGUGUAUUAAGGUUUCAAGGCCCUACUAUGGUGGAUUCCAUCAUCCACCGGUUAUCUACCAUUUUUAUCCCAAUAAUCUUCCUACACCCAUAGAUAACACAUGCAUGAAAGAGGGACAACUCCUAUACCCAAUAAUUGCCUUACUAAUUACCUAUUUUUUGUUAAUUUUCGAAAUUGAGCGUUAGGGUGUAGAAACUUACCUCUAGGAUGAAGACCAAGUGUGUUUUCCUUGUUAAUCUUCCAUGAUUUGAGUAAGAAUUGAAGAAUAAUUGGUUGAGAAACUUUCUCCCUCUCUAGAGCACUUUUUCACUCUCAAAAUGUCAGGUUCUUACUUAAGAAACGGUCCAUAGAGUCUAUAUAACGAAAUGAGGUCGGGUUAUAAAAAUCAAAAAAAUAAAGCACCGAAACACAAUCUGUGGUCGCAUAUCGGGUUAUAAAAACCAAAAAAAUGAAGCUCUCAAACACAAUAUGCGGUCGUAUAUGAGACCGCAUAAUGCUUCUGCGGUACGCAAAAUGGCCCUCCGGAACUGGGCACCGCUGCCUAGGUAUGCGGCCGUUCUGCGAUCCGCAUAUCGAUUCUGCGGUCACAAAGUGGACCGGAGAAUCUCCUCCGGGAAUUCGUCAUGUCAAUCUUGCGAUGCAAUCUGCGGCCCCCCAAAGUAAUUUUGUGGCAGCAUAAUGGCCCACAAAUUUUACUCAAGUUUCUUCUUCACUCUGCGACCAUUCUGCGGCCGCAUGUCUCUUUCUGCCAACAUUUUCCUUUAAGUCCCUAUCGCACUGUUCGACCCUAAAAGUCCGUACCGCGACGAGCAAGCAUGCUGAGAAGAAUUUCUACCAUCACCAAAAAUAUUAGCUUACCUCACCACCAUGGAACCUUGGGUUUUACGUGAAAUUUUACGGGGCCUUACACCCAGAGUACAAGAUUGUAUAAGGAAAGGAUGAAGAUAAUGCAUGAUAAGCACAUGCUAGAUAGGAACUUCAAAACCGGAGAUCUAGUGUUAUUAUACAACUCGAGAUUGAGAUUAUUUACGAGCAAGCUGAAAUCUAGAUGGUCGGGACUAUUUAGAGUUGUGCAAGUGUUCCCAAGUGGAGCGGUAGAAAAUUGAGUCCGAAGAUGGAACAAACAAGUUUAAAAUGAAUGGGCAAAAGUUGAAACACUACCUUGGAAUGAUUGAAGGAAGAGGGGAGAAAGAUGUGACUUACUUGGAAGAGACUAAUAUGUGAGUGAAGUGUAAUCCUAAAAGGCUGCGUCGUGCUGCGACGUUAAAUCAGACGCUUUUUGGGAGGCAACCCAUGGUCGUGUUGUAUUCGUCAUGCCAUGACGUUAACUAAGGUGAUUAUUGGCAGGCAACCCAAUUCGUAGCAUAGAUUUAGUUUAGUUUUUGUUUUUGUUUGAUAUUGAGGCAGAUUAACAAGUGAAUUUUGUGUGUAACUAUCGUGUUUUUCUAGGUAGUGGAGCUACUUGGAAGAACGUUGCCCUCGGGAGUCCAAAAUAAGCUAAAAGAUUGAAAAAUCAGACCUGGAAACAUCGAGCCAUCGCGUGAUAAAGUUAAAGGCUUUACCAUAGAGCACCUCAAACAACUUAGCAUCGAAAUAUUAUUGCCCCUCACGCUGCCUCGCCGUGUCUAGCACGUGACUGUUAGCGCCCCUCACACUGCCUUGCAGCCUUCAAACGCUGCCUCUCAUGCAGCCUUGCGCAGUCCAGAGUGCUAAGGCUGGCGCACCUCACACUGCCUCGCGACUUCCAUAUCGCACGCCUCACGUUGCCUUGCACUGCCCCGAGCAUCGAGGGCCAGGUAAGUAUAAUUGUAGUUUGCUAAUUUGUGAUCUUGUUAAUAUUCCUAGAAGUUUUGUUCUAUAAUGAAAAUCUGUAACCCUGCUAAUGCCUCAGAAAUCCUGAUUGUAGUUUAGUAUUUAUGAUAGUACCAGUGGAAGUUCUAAUUAUGGUUACUUCUUUGAACCUCUGUCAAUACUAUUAGAAGGGUCUAAUUGAAAUCAUCAACCUAUGUCUCUUAAUUGAAGUUACUGAUCUGUAUUUCCAAUUGAAGUUGUUGACCUAUCUCUGCAUUAGCACUCCUUAGAGAGCAUCAAUUGUAGUGAUAAACCUGUAAUGUUGUUAACAGUCUUCACGAGUCUUUAUUAUGAUUAUUAACCUUGCCCUCUCUUAAUCCCCUUUAGAAGUUAAUUCAAGCUGUUAGCCAUAUCUUUGUUAAUACUUUUAGAAGUCCCAAUUAGGACUGUUAACCUAUGUGUGCAUUAGAAAACAAGACCCAAGUUAAAACUAAUAUGUGAUUAGUCUAAUUAAAGGUUGUUAAGGCAGAUGCACCUGUUCAUAAACUAUUGCAGACUUGAACUAUGUGCUCUCUCUAUCCUUAAUAUAUAUGACCUCAGGUGUUUGGUUCUUUAACAGUAGUGUGAUAAUGUCUCCGCCUCUAUCUAUGUUUGAAGCUUAUUUGUUUUGAACUUGCUUAACAUGUUAACCAUCUAUUUAGUUUUGGAGAUAUGAUUAUGAUAAUGUAGAUAAAUUGUCUUGUAGUCUUAUAAUUUUCUCUUUGGCCCUCAUGGGAAAGGAAUAUACUUUUGUGAUAUGGUAUUACUGUGGUGAUUGGAUUAACAUUGAAAGUGCCUCGUUGGCACUUAAACUUGUGGGGAAGAGCGAGUGUGAGUGGUUAGGGGUAUUUGGGAGUACAUAUUCACUUUUGGUUGGGCUACUCUCCCUGACACAAGCAUUGCCCUGGGCCUUGAGACCCUUGGGAACUUUGAAGUGUCAGGGAUCCAAAGGGACUUUGACCUUGAGUGGAACUCUACCCUAAGCCUCUAAUCUAUUGACAUUCAUUACUCUUUUUAGGUUUAGUGUUUAAUGAAAACGAAAGAUUUUCAAUGUGAAUCACUUCACCAUAUGUGACCCCACAUUAGUAUAAGCUUUAAUAAUUUCCAAUUAUUAUUAGUUGUUAUUUAUUCAAUUCAUUUACUUAUAUAUUUUUAUGUGCAUAGAAUAUUAUAUCUAAUAACGUUCUCUCUCUUUUGAAUAUGUGCAACAAUUGGGCCUGCUGAGUUCUCAAAAGAACUCGUGCCCAAAUCUCGUACCAGUGCAUCUGAAAAUCCGAAGUUCACUACUGUCCGUUCCUGCUGAUUGCUGGGCCUAUCUCUUUCACGCCCGAGCCAGAGUCACUCGUUACCCCUUUACUGCUUUAUUACAUCCUGUUAUUUAUAAUCUCUCACGUGUAUAUGGCAUUACAGUCAUCAUGUUUGAUUUAAUGUUUUUCUUUAUCCUUUGAAUCACAUAAACAACUUAGGCAAGCCUUCAAGGACAUAGGAUUAAAAGGAACAUUAGGCUUAAUAGCAACUAGUUCUCAUUCGUUAAUCUUAUUCUACUGACGCCAUUAAUCUCUUAUGUUUUACUAACAUUUCAUGAUGAUUUUAAAGCCAAAAUAGCUUAGUAAAGGACGGCAGUCCCUCUUUCAAAAAGAAAAACUAAAAAUGAAUUUCAAGACUGGCCUUCUAAAAGAAAUCGAACCUUUCAGAACAAAGUGUUGUCGCCCAGCGAAAGAUUUUCAAAUGAUUUCCUCAAGUCUAAGUAUUAAGGUUUUGAAAGCCAAGGUACAUCUUAGGCUUACAACAUCUUUAUCUAAUUAGAGUUACAUGAAUAGUCACAUUCUUUGAAUACAAAGUGUUUUCUAACUUAGCCCCUUUUACAUAUUUCAUAAAUAUAAAUUAUCAUGUACAUAUUAUAAAAACUCUUUCAAUUAUAUAUAGAUAUAAACAUUAUUUUCCAACACUCCUUUACAAACUCAUAUCCUUUUUAAACCGCACACUCCUUUUAUAAAUAUCAUAUUCUCAUUUAGAUGUAUAUGGUAGGCCAUACCCCCUUAAUCACUAAUUAAGCAGAAUGCAAAAAACUAAUCCUUUAAACCUAGUAUAAGUCCUAUGGAGCUACCUCAGAUAGAUUUUAAGGGGUGACUAACACCUUUCGUUUAGAAGAAAAAGAACCCUUACCCACAAUCUCACCGAUUAGCAAACUAAUAAAGAAAAUGACCUUAGUUGUAACGAUUCGACCGGUCGUUUUGAGCUCUAGCGCGUCGUUCAGUGGUUUGAGGCCCUAAGCANNNNNNNNNNNNNNNNNNNNNNNNNNNNNNNNNNNNNNNNNNNNNNNNNNNNNNNNNNNNNNNNNNNNNNNNNNNNNNNNNNNNNNNNNNNNNNNNNNNNNNNNNNNNNNNNNNNNNNNNNNNNNNNNNNNNNNNNNNNNNNNNNNNNNNNNNNNNNNNNNNNNNNNNNNNNNNNNNNNNNNNNNNNNNNNNNNNNNNNNNNNNNNNNNNNNNNNNNNNNNNNNNNNNNNNNNNNNNNNNNNNNNNNNNNNNNNNNNNNNNNNNNNNNNNNNNNNNNNNNNNNNNNNNNNNNNNNNNNNNNNNNNNNNNNNNNNNNNNNNNNNNNNNNNNNNNNNNNNNNNNNNNNNNNNNNNNNNNNNNNNNNNNNNNNNNNNNNNNNNNNNNNNNNNNNNNNNNNNNNNNNNNNNNNNNNNNNNNNNNNNNNNNNNNNNNNNNNNNNNNNNNNNNNNNNNNNNNNNNNNNNNNNNNNNNNNNNNNNNNNNNNNNNNNNNNNNNNNNNNNNNNNNNNNNNNNNNNNNNNNNNAUUUGAAGGUUCCAACAGGUUCGUAUGAUGAUUUUGGACUUGGGCAUAUAUGUUCGGAUAGGGUUUUGGAUGACCCAAGAGCGUUUCAGCGCCUAUUGUGGAAGUUGGCAUUUUGGAAGAAUUUCAUAAAAAUUAGGUUGAGGUGUAUUUCAAUGUUAUCGAUGUCCGUUUGGGAUUCCGAAUCUGGGAAUAGCUCAGUAUCGUGAUUCUGGUAUUGGGAGCGCAUCCGGAAGUGAAUUUGGAGGUCCGUAGGUCAUUUUGUUGUCAUUUGGCGAAAAUUUGAAAUUUGAAGGUUUUUGAGAUGUUUGACCGGAACUGGACUUUUUGAUAUCGGGGUCGAAUUUCGAUUUCAGAUGUUGGAAUAGGUCUGUAAUGUCGAAUGUGACUUGUGUGCAAAAAUUGAGGUCAGUCGGACGUGAUUUGAUAGGUUUUGGCAUCGAAUAUAGAAGUUUGAUGUUCUAAAGUUCAUUAAGCUUGAAAUGGGGUGCGAUUCAUGAAUUCGACAUUGUUUGAUGUGAUUUGAGGUCUCAAACAAGUUCGUGUUAUGCUUUUAGACUUGUGUGGGUAUUUGAUUUGGAUCUCCGGGGGCUCGGGUGAGUUACGGAGUGGCUUCAGAGUGUUUUGUUAAGAAGUUGGAUUGCUUGUUCUGGUAUGAUCGCAAUUGCGAUGUUUUGGUCGCAAAUGCGAUGGUCGCAUUUGCGAGGCAAGGUUCGCGUUUGCGAACCUGGACUGCUGAGGGAAUGGAUCACAUUUGCGACAAUAUAGUCGCUUUUGCGAAGCCUGAAGAGUUCGCAUUUGCGAACUCUGUAUCGCAUUUGCGAUGAAGGCCAGCUCUGUCAGGGGGCGCAUUUGCGAUGCUUUCUUCGCAUUUGCGAAGGUCGCAUUUGCUCACCCACUAUCGCAAAUGCGACAUUUGCGACUGGAACCAAGGGCUUUUUAUUCCGAGAAUUAGCUCAUUUCCCUCAUUUCUCACUUGGACUUAGGCGAUGUUUUAGAGCAUUUUGAGAGGGGGUUCCAUCAUCAUGAAGAGGUAAGUGAUUUCUUCUAGUUGUGAGUUAAAUACAAGGUUUAUAUAUGGAUUUAGACACGAAAAUUUGUAGAAAUUUGGGAUUUGGAAGAAAAACCUAGAAAUUGGUAUUUUUGGAUUUUGACCACGAGAUUGGGCAUGGAAUUAGAAAUAAAUUAUAUAUUUGAGUUCGUAGUGCUACGGGUAGUGUUUGUCUUCGAAUUGUUUUGAAAUCCGGGCACGUGGGCUCGAGGGUUGCUUUUUCGAUUUUCGAGCAGAGUUGGAAAUUGUUAUAAAUUGAUUAAUUAUGAGUAUUAGAGUCAAUUUUGAUUCGGUUGCAUCACAGGUGACUAGUUUUGGAGCAACGGGCAUCGGUUUGAGGUGUUAGAGAGGCUUUGGAGUCGGUUAUGGAAUUUUGGAGCGAGAUAAGUCUCCUAUCUAACUCUAUGAGGGGGAAUUUACCCCUAAGUGAUAUAUUGAUGUGUACAACUUGUUGCGGGGGCUACGUACGCACGAGGUGACGAGAGUCCGUACGUAGUUAGAUUGCGGGGGCUACGUACGCACGAGGUGACGAGAGUCCGUACGUAGUUAGAUUCUUGUUAUUGUCCGGGUAGACUUAGGUUCACACCAUGAUGUACUUGUACGAUAGGGAUUAUCCUUACUCGUUUAAUUCUUUAUUUUACCUUUCUACUUGAGACUAGACUUGCUAUUAUAGAGACUUCACGAGUUCACGAUUAGUCACUGAAUAACUUUACUCCUCUUACGACAUGUUUUCGUGAUGUCGGGCCGCUCGCCUCUGUAGGAUUUAUAUACCACACUCUCAUGGGAGCAGGCCGUUCGCCUCGGCAGUUUAAUAAAUAUAUCUAUGGUUUAUGCCGUUCGACCCUCGGCAUUGCACAAUUUAAAUAUUUAUGUUAGAUCAGGCCGUACGCCUCGGCAUUUCCUAUAUCAUAUCCUCAUGAAAUCGUGCGUAAUAUUUGACAAGAAGCCAGGGUAUCUGUAAAUUUUUUCCUGAUUCGAAUUAUAACAACCCUUUUGGUGAGGUCCAUUAUACACAUAUAUAUGCUCCGGUUGAGGAGCAAUUUGCUAAUUAAAAGCUUUAGUUUAUUGUAAGGAGGAUUAUUGUACAACAUAUUUACACUUGUUUAUUUUAUUUAUUUGCUUUGCCUCAUAUUUGUUCACCUCCUUAUUGUACUUGAUAUUAUUGGACCACUAGUGAGUGUCGAUGUCGACCCCUUGUCACUACUUCUCCGGGGUUAGGCUAGAUACUUACUGGAUACAUGUUGAUUACGUACUCAUACUACACUUGCUGCACAUUUUUGUGCAGGUACAUAUGUGACUAGUGGCUUUGUGAGAGCAGAGGCGUGUAUGCAUGCGGGGACUUGCGUGAGCUGCAUUCCAUAUUACGACCCGCAACCAACAUAGUCUCCUUCAGAGUAUUUAUAUUUCUCCUGUCCAAAUUUNNNNNNNNNNNNNNNNNNNNNNNNNNNNNNNNNNNNNNNNNNNNNNNNNNNNNNNNNNNNNNNNNNNNNNNNNNNNNNNNNNNNNNNNNNNNNNNNNNNNNNNNNNNNNNNNNNNNNNNNNNNNNNNNNNNNNNNNNNNNNNNNNNNNNNNNNNNNNNNNNNNNNNNNNNNNNNNNNNNNNNNNNNNNNNNNNNNNNNNNNNNNNNNNNNNNNNNNNNNNNNNNNNNNNNNNNNNNNNNNNNNNNNNNNNNNNNNNNNNNNNNNNNNNNNNNNNNNNNNNNNNNNNNNNNNNNNNNNNNNNNNNNNNNNNNNNNNNNNNNNNNNNNNNNNNNNNNNNNNNNNNNNNNNNNNNNNNNNNNNNUGUAAUUUUUAAUUUUUCUCAAAUAAAACCUAUUAAAAGUAAGAUAAAUGUUUUAAAUGUAAAUAUUAUACCGAAAAGAAAUAUUUACACUAAAAUAGUAUAAAAUUCAGGUGUGGUAAAAAAUUAGUUGUUCACAGUCGGGUAGGGACAAGUAAGUCCCAACAUUCUGGUAGCUUUGGUGGCGACUCGUCUGGAGGCCGAGAUCGAUCUGGAGAGCCAUCCUAGCAGGCCGACUUAUCAUUCACCAUGUCACAGCCCCAGUUGCCCACCUUAAGAUGUUGUGAUGACACUUAGUCUCUAAGAAUAGAUAUGCCUAACAUGUAAUAAUAACAUAACAAAAAUAAUUAACAGAAAUAAUAAAGCAAGACUAAUAAACCCAUAUAAACUUCCAAAAUAAGAUCUCAACCACAACUCUCCCAAAACCGAUGGAACUGACUCAUAGACUCUAUAGAAUAAUCUAGAAUGUCUUCUACAACACCGUCUGAAUGAGAAAUACAACAAAAUGAAAAAAUAAGGGAAAGUGACUGCGAGGCCUGCGGACGUCGAGUAGGUAUACCUUCAAGUCUCCGGAUUACAACUACAAUCAAACACUAACGUUUAGCACGGGCAGACAUACAUGGAUCUGUACAAAAAGAUGUGCAGAAGCGUAGUAUGAGUACACAACAAUGGUACCCAUUAGGUAUUAAUCCUAACCUCAGUAGAGUAGUGACGAGGGCAUGUGAAGACACCUACUAGGACAUAAUAAAUAUAAUGAAAAUAUAAUAAUGAGAAAUAAUGGAACGCGGAGAAUAAAUGAUACGAAACAAGUUAAUAACAAAGAAUAAUGACAGAAUUAUAAGCAUAGAAAUAACAUAAAGGAAGCAAAUAAAGACAACCACAAAUAAAUCUUUUCAACAUGAGAUGCACAAAAAGAAUCAUAAGGCAUUGCCUAGUAUACAACAAGAAUCACAACCGAGGUACCGCCUCGUAUACAACAAGAAUCACAACCGAGGUACCGCCUCGUAUAUAACAAGAAUCACAACCGAGGUGCCGCCUGGUAUACUACGAGAAUCACAACCGAGGUACCGUCUCGUACAUAACAAGAAUCACAACCGAGGUACCGCCUCGUAUUCACAUUUCUCAAUUUCAAUCACAAUCUUUCCUUAUACCGCCACGUGAGCCUUACAUUUAAAUAAUUAUGAAAAUAUUUUUCCCGAAAUAGCUACACGCACUUUAGCCCACCUUAUUACACCGUGUGGCUUCAUGUAAUUCCCUUACUAGCAACACGCAUAUAAAUCCCACCUUAUGCUUUAUACCACCGCAUGCACAUCGAUAUCACAACAUAAUAACAACUCGCAUCAUAAGUGCCCAUAUGCCACAACAUGCCAAUAAUAAACAUUAUCAAUGUUUCCACAACAAUAGCUCAUGGCUGAACCACAAUGUGAACAAGAAUAUCAACAAUAACAAUGAAUAUAAAUUUCUCAACAAGGAAGACAUCUAACCAAAAUCGACUUAAUAUCAUCAAACAAUGCAAGGGAAAACGAUUACAAUAGAUGAAACUAUGUUCUUCAUACUUUCCCCAAAAAGUCAUCAGCAGUCAACUCGGGGCUCUCCCGGUCAAAACCCGGGUUCAGGAUAGAUUCCGACUACCCAUAACUGUCACGCCCUGACAAUGGGGAGCGCGACCAGCGCUCAACCGAGAUAUCCCAGUCGAGCAAGCCUACUUGAUGCCUUCUACCCGACCUUACCCAUGUAUAAAGUGAAGAUGUAUACCAUUCGUUAGACAAUGAGAGGAUUUCAUAAACAACACCAAUUUCAUUAACAUUAGUUACUUCACUUACAAUUCCAAAAAUACAAUACACAUGCAUAGUUUUAGAAGUGGAAACAUGUGUUACAAGUAAAACAUUUCAAGUUUGACUUACCCAAAUCAAAAUACAAUCUACGCUAUGUCUAUGGAGCCUCUAAUGGAUACAAAAGAGUAAUAUGAUGGUGCCAGAAAUAGGGCCCCGGCUAUACCUCAAAACAAUAUACAUAAGAAACAAAUGAUACAAGACCCCGAUAUGAAGUUGGGCCCACCAAGUCAGCUGAAAGUCAUUAUCACGUUGAGGCAGAAUUGUUAUUGUUGAGCAUUUUACCUUUAUUGUUGUUGUUGAUAUUCUUGUACACGUUGUGGUGGAGCCAUGAUCUAUUGUUGUCGAAAUAUUGAUAUUAUUGAUUGUUGACAAGUCGUGACAUAUGAGCACUUGUGGUGCAAGUUGUUAUUGUGAUGUGAUACUGCAGCGCAUGUGGCGGUAUAAGGCUUGGGGUGAAUGUGCAUGUAGUGGUAUAAGGUGGGACUUAUGUACGCGUCUCUUAUAGGGGAACUACGUGAAGCCACGCGGUGUCAUAAGGUGGGCUAAAAUGCAUGUAGCUAUUUCGGAAAAACUGUAUUCAAAACCUACGUAAAUGUAAGGCUCACGUAGCGAUAUAAGGAAAGAUUGUGAUUGAGAUUGUGAAUUGUGAAUACGAGGUAAUACCUCGGUUAUGAUUCUUGAUAUAUAUACACGAGGCGGAACCUCGGUGGUGAUUCAUACUAUACACAAGGCGGUACCUCGUUGUGAUUCUUGUUGUUUUGUUCUUCCUUGUUUUUGUCUGUUAUUGUCCGUCUAUGAUCAUUAUGGUUCUCUUUAACUUAUAUCUUUAUGUUAUUUCCGUGCUUAAAGUUCCGAUAUUGGUUCAUGCUGUUAACUAUUUCGCAUCAGUUAUUUCUCCGCUUUCCAUUAUUUAUCCUUAUUACAUUUUCAUACUAUUUAUUUAUAUCCUAGUAGGUCUCUUUACGUGGCCUCAUCACUACUCUACUGAGGUAAGGCUUGAUACCUAUUGGGUACCAUUGUGGUGUACUCCUAAUACGCUUCUGCACAUCUUUUUGUGCAGAUUCGGGUACGUCAGCUCCUGCCGGUUGUUAGUAAUCAUCUGUUAGCUACUUUACGGAGACUUCAAGGUAUGUAUUCUCGGCGUCCGCAGGCCUCAGAGUCACCUUCCUUUACUUUUAAUACUGUUGUAUUUAUCAUUUAGACACUGAUGUAGUAGGCACCCUAGUAUGAUUCUGUAGAGCUUAUGACUCAGUUCCACCGGUCUUGGGGAGUGUAGUGUUGUCGAUACUAUUUUCGAAAGUUACUCAGCCUGGUUUUAGUAUUUUGGUAAUUAUUUCUGUCAAGUUAUUAUUAACUAUUAGGCUUACCUCGUCGUAGAGACUAGGUGCCAUCACGAUAUCCUACAGAGGUAAAUUGGGGUCUUGACAAGUUAGUAUCAGAGGUCUAGUUACAUAGGUGUUACAAAUCAUCAGCAAGUUUAGUAGUCUUGCGGAUUUGUAUGGAUACGUCCGUACUUAUCUUCGAGAGGCUACGGAACUGUUAGGAAAACUUCACUUCUUUGAUUCCUUAUCAUGCAAAUUGGUUGACUUCGAAAACUGAAUCUUUGACUUUCUAUUCUCUCACAGAUGGUGAGGAAAUGCACUGCUAGACCCGAUGAUCAGACACCCGCACCCCCUACUAGAGCUACGAGAUGCCGGGGCCGGGACAGAGGCCGUGGAAGGGCAUGUGGUGUAGCCAAAGAACCUGCCCGAGUUGUGACAGAGGAGCCACCAGUAGCUCCAAUUGGGGGACAAGCAGUCGAGGCGCAUGUUGCCACCCAGCACUUCAGGAGACCCUCGCACAGUUCUUUAGCAUGUUUGGUACCUUAGCUCAGGCGGGGUUGAUUCCACUUGCACCAGCCACAUCUCAGGCUGGGGGAGGAGCUCAGACUCCCCUGGCCCGUACCCCAGAGCAGCGGGUCAAUGUUGAUUAGGUUCCAGAGGUUAUACUAGUAUAGCCUGUUAUUCCGGUUCAGCCCGCGGUUAGGGCAGCAGCAUCCGAGGAGUAGCAACUUAGACUUGAGAGGUUCAAGAAGUAUCACCCUCCUACUUUUGAUGGUUUAGCUUCAGAGGAUGCACGUGGUUUUCUUUAGGCGUUCCACCGUAUUCUCAGCACCAUGGGUAUUGUGGAGAUGAACGGGGUUGCUUUCACUACUUUCCAGUUGUUCGGAGCGGCAUAUUAGUGGUGGUGGGUGUAUGAGGAAGGUAGCCCAGCCGAUGCAGCUUCACUUACAUGGACUUAGUUUUGAGAGUUGUUCUUGAGAGAGUUUGUUCCCCAGACCCUUAGAGAUGCAUGGCACGCAGAGUUUGCGCAGCUGCGCCAGGGUACUAUGGCAGUGUUGGAGUUUGAUCUCCGAUUUAGUGACUUGUCCAUACAUGCACCUGCCUUGGUUUCUACUAUCAGAGAACAAGUCCGUCAAGUCAUCGAGAGGCUCAACAAUGGUAUUAGAUUCAGCAUGGCUCGAGAGUUAGAUACAUAUACCCCAUAUAAGCAGGUGGUAGAGAUUGCACGAAGGUUGGAGGGUAUGCGGGGCCGUGAGAGAGAGGAUAGGGAGGCCAAGAGUCCUCGAUGUAUUAGAGUAUUUAGUGGUGGCCACGCUGCAGCUAUAGCCCAUCAUGGCAGAGGCUAUGUGAGCCAUCCAGUUCACUCAGCACUUCCAGCUUCUAGUGGAGCUCUGCUUACUCCAAGACCUCAGGUUGCCCACUUUGCUCAGCCACUUUCUAGUUCAUCUCCUGCACGGGGUGCCUUCAGCGGUCAAUCCAGCUGACCAGGCCCGUGCCAGUCCCAGCAACCAUGCCUGCCGAGAGCCUGCUUAGAGUGUUGUAAUACCGGUCAUAUGGUUAGAGACUGCCCCAGACUUAGGAGGGGUGCACCUCCCCAGACAACUCAGGCUCCACAGAUUCAGUUAGGUCCACAAACUUCACAAGUCAUGAUUUCUACCUAAGUUGCCUCUCCAUCCACACAUCUAGCGAGGGGUAGGGGACGGGCGGGUGGAGGGUGCCGUAGAGGUGGAGGCCGGGCCAGAUUCUAUGAUUUUUCGUGUAGGAUGGAGGCACUAGAUUCAGACUCAGUUAUUACAGGUAUGGUUCCGAUUUUCCAUAGAGAUGCAUCGGUAUUAUUUGAUAUGUGAUCUACCUAUUCAUAUGUGUCAUCUUACUUUGCUCCGUAUUUGGAUAUAUCUCGUGAUUCUUUGAGUUCUCUUGUUUAUAUGUCCAUGCCUAUAGGAGACUCUAUUAUUGUGAAGCAUGUGUAUCGGUCGUGUUAAGUUGUUAUAGGUGGUUUUGAGACCAGAGUUGACCUAUUGUUAUUUAGUAUGGUAGACUUUGAUGUUAUUUUGGGCAUGUGCUGGUUGUCGCCCUAUCAUGUUAUUCUGGAUUGUAACGCCAAGACUUUGACAUUGGCUAUGCCAGGUCUGCCACGGUUAGAGUGGAGGAGUGCAUUAAAUAAUGUUGCUAGUAGGGUUGUGUCAUUUCUAAAGGCUCAUCGGAUGGUUGAGAAGAGGUAUGAUGCUUAUCUAGACUUUGUGAGGGAUGUCAAUGCUGAUACUCCUACCGUUGAGUCAGUUCUGGUAGUGAGUGACUUCCCAUAUGUGUUUCCAGCUGAUCUUCCGGGCAUUCCGCCCGAUAAGAAUAUUGAUUUUGGUAUUGACUUGUUGCCGGGCACUCAGCCCAUUUCUAUUCUACCAUAUCGUAUGGCCCUAUUAGAUUUGAAGGAGUUAAAGGAGUAAUUGCAAUUAUUGCUUGAUAAGGAUUUCAUUCGGCCUAGUAUGUCGCCAUGGAGUGCUCCGAACUUGUUUGUGAAGAAGAAGGAUGGUUCUAUGCGUAUGUGUAUUGAUUAUCGGUAGUUGAACAAGGUUAUAGUGAAGAACAUGUAUCCAUUGCCGCACAUUGAUGACUUAUUUGAUCAUCUACAAGGUGCCUGAGUGUUCUCAAAUGUUGAUUUGUAGUCAGGUUAUCAUCAGCUGAAGAUUCGGGAUCCAGAGAUUCUAAAGACUGCCUUUAGGACUCAGUAUGGUCACUACGAGUUACUUGUGAUGUCAUUUGGACUGACCAAUUUUCCAAUAACAUUUAUGUACCUAAUGAAUAAUGUAUUCAAGUCAUAUCUUGAUUCAUUCAUCAUUGUAUUUAUUGACAACAUCUUGGUGUACUCCCGCAGUCGGGAAGAUCAUGAGAAACACAUGAGGAUUGUGCUCCUGACCUUGAAAGAGAAGAAGUCGUAUGCAAAAUUCUCAAAGUGUGAAUUAUGGCUUGAUUCGCUGGCAUUAUUGGGUCAGGUGGUGUCGAGUGCGGGUGAUCAAGUUAGAUCCGAAGAAGAUUGAGGCAGUGCAGAAUUGGCCCAGACCGUCUUCAGCUACAAAGAUCCGGAGUUUCCUUGGUUUGGUCGGGUAUUUGUGAGGCCCCUCAAAAAUUUCCUAUUAGUUUGAGGCCACAAGCACACUCACAAGUCGCUUAAGUAUUUUCUUGCCUUACACAAGGGGUUAAAGACUGUAACAACUUAGAUAAUCAUGAUAAUACGUGUAGGAGUUGUAUUGGAUAUUGUUGAGGGCCUAAGGAGACCCUAGGACUAAGCCAUGUUGGAAAUUAUGGAAUGGGCUAAAGUUUCAGAACAAUUCGCACACGAUCCAACUUUAAAUGCAUACUGCUACCAAACUAUAAAGACAUAGGAGGUGAUCUACCUAUCAAACUAAAUCCCUUUGAGUCUAGUGUCCAACGCAUCAAACCGUUCGUCAUUUGGAUAUGUAUACAGAGAGUUAUGGUCAUCUUACCGGACCUAUGUCAUAUGCGUGCCCAGAUGCGCGGCCGCGCAUAUUUGGGAGUUACUGCCUUGUUUGCACGGCCAGAUGCGCGGCCACUUGCCCAGGUGCGCGGUCGCACACGUAGGAGCCACAAAAUACCCCCAAGACCGGGUAGGGAGAGUGGCUAAGUCAUUUCUUUGAGCUAGGGCUUGCUCUAUCAAGGGGAAUCCGUCCUAUACUUCCCUUCCAUGAACCAAGGUAAUGUUUUUGGAGUAUUUUGAGUUGAUUACUACUCCUAAACACUUAUAUUAACAAGGAUUAAUCUUGAAGAUCCAUAGAUUUCCAUUUAAAUCCCAAGAUUGGUCAAGAACAAUACAAGUGGGAUUCUCAAGAGUUUCACUAUAAGAGGUAUGUCUAUCAUCUCUAACUAAUCUAUGGUGAUUAAUUAUGUAUGAAAUAUGUGUUAUGAGUUAUGGGAUGGUGAUUAGAAGCCAUAAGUUCCUAACCUAGGUUGUGUUGGCAUUGUAGAGGUUGUAAAAUGAAUUAAUUGAUAACAUUUAUGGGUUGGAAGUGAAGUUUCGGGCAUGCAUGCGCUAACGGAAGUUGUGAGUUGAAUCAUUAAUGUGGAAGGAAGUUGUUAGGUGAAGAAAUUCCAUUGAAGAAGGUUGUAAGAAGAUAUGCACACUAGAUGAUUGUUAAAAAGUCUAAAUGACAUAAAGUAUAGAAAUCUUACUAAUAUUGGCGCAAAUGUGUUGCAUUGUUGUAGAUUGAAGUUGUUUAGUGCGGUGGACCAUCGUAGUAUUGUUAAGGGUCGAGUUUCAAGUAUGUUGGCUAAACUCUUCUUUAAGAAUUGAAUCCCCCGCGACCCUUGUAAGUUCCAAGAUGCUUAUUAUAAAUCGAGUAUUCCGAAUAAGUUUUGUGACAACGAUAUAUGUUCAAUUCAUGUUUCAAAUGCUCUUAUCAUGUUGUACUAUUAAUUGAGGAUGUGUUCCAAACUAUGGGUUGGGUAUCUAUAUGUUAUAACUCCAAGUCGUGAUUCAUAUGAAAGUUAUUAUGCCAAAUUGUGUAGAGAUUGUGAUUGGGAUUACACGUCCACCCGCACGUAUUGAGGUGAGGCGGCUGGGCCGCUUCGUGUAGGAUUUUGGUAUUCUUGGUGCACCACCACCAGCAUACAUACUGGGGUGAGGCGGUAUGGCCUCUUUGUGCAUGUAUUGGUAUCGUUGUUACACCCCCACCCACACAUAAUGGGGUGAGGCGGCAGGGCCGUUUUGUGUAGGUUUUUAUUUUUGGUUUUGUGGUUACACCUCCACCCACAUACACUGGGGUGAGGUGGCAGGGCCGUUUGAGUAGAGUUGUGUUAUUGUACUUGCACCUCCACCUGCAUACACUGGGGUGAGGCGGCGAGGCCGUUUUGUGUAAAAAUGGUUUUAGAGGAUCUUGUCUUAAAAUUUAUAAAUGUUAUUGACAGCUCUUGAUAAAUUUUCUUUGGCUCAAAUGGCUAUCUAUGCUAUUCUAUUGUCACCCCGAUUCAUCAUAUAGAUGUUGUAUUUUCAUGUUCUUAAUUAGGUGUUUGGUUUUCAUACUAGUACUAUUCGACAUGUACUAACACCCCUUUUGCUGGGGGCACUGCAUUUUUAAUGGACGCAGGUGGUUCCAUAGCGGAGGAUACUGACCGGUAAUAGCGGUGCUCAUUUUUCCCAGCUGACUUGGUGAGCCCCAUCUAAUUCUGGGGUUGUGCAUCUUUUUUUUCGUAUGUAUUAUCAUGUUUUGAGGUAUAGCCGGUGCCUUUUUGUCGGCACUAUCAUUGUACUCUUUGGUAUCUUUAGAGGCUCCGUAGACAUAGUGUAAGUUGUAUAUGUGUUACACCCCAUGUUUUCGUAGGUGAAAGUACGCCAUAAGUAAAUUAAUGGAAGCUCGGAAAUGAGAUGUUAUAUCCCGCAUUUUCGUAUGUUAAAGUUUCGUCUUAAAUCAACGUAAGUUCGGGAAUGGGCUUAUUGUGAGAUUAUAAGCAUUAUGCUAUUUCAAACAAGUGAUGAGUAAAUUCGUGAAGGUGAGAGGGUAAGAGGAUCGAAGAAAAUGAGUUUCGUCGAAGAUUGUCAUUUUGAGAUAAAAUACGGUCCAAGCUAUAAUACGCGGUAUUUAUGGACUAGUGCGAUACAAGGUACCACAUGACCAUAAUAGUAAGGUGUACAAAGUGUAUUAAAAGUGAGUAGUAUUUUAAGUAAUUUGAGAUAAUUCUUAAUUAUUUAAAUUAUUGGUUAAUGGGGGAACUAACAAGUUAAUUAAAAUUUGUAGGUAAUUAAUUCAUAACCUUGGGAUAAUACCUAACCCCUCCCCAACGUGGAAGCACCCCCCCUUUCCCAUGUUAUGAAUCUUGAAAGAGAAUUAAAGGUGUCACACUUGAAAAGGGUAGGUGACACGAAGCUUGAAAAGUGGCGCCCACUCUCUUUAAUAAAAGAAAACACCUCCCCUAAUUCAUUAAGAGCAAAAUACAUAGCUAACAGAUGGAAUCCUCUUUCUCAAGAUUACAUAACGUAACAGCAAGAUUACAUAACAGAUGGAAUUCUCUUUCUCAAGAUUACAUAACGUAAUAGCAACGGGAUUUGCAAUUCUAAGGAUGCCCGGUAUAAUCUUUCUCAAGAAUAUCAUACGGAUUUUUUUCCUAUUUCGAUCCGUCGUUACGUGUUGUCGCAAUCAACGUGUGUUAGAGGGAUUAUUAAGAGAAUCGACUCAGGUAUGUUAAGGCUAAACUUUCCUUCAUUUUGGCAUGAUCUCGUAAUUACAUGUGUUUGAUAACGAGGCAUAAAGAGAAGUUCAUACUCCUGAAUUUAUAUACAUUAUCAUAGUCUCAUGAAUUACAGUAUUCUCCUUAUCGGGACUUCAUAUUUAAUUGAGUAUUGUCUUCUUCCAGCCAAGAGAGAAGAGAGCCUAUAUUUAUAGUAUUACAAUAUUUUUAUUACCAUCGAGCUAUAAUCGAUGGGCAAGCCCCUAUUGGGCAACCCCUGAUCAGAUGGUAAGUUAUAUACCGAGCCUAAUGUGGCCGAGCGCCUAUGAGCAAGCCCAGUUGGCCAAGAUACAGAGCCUAGUAUGGCCGAGCGCCUAUGAGCGAGCCUACUACGGCAGAGCAGUUGUCUAUAUACCGAGCCUUAUAGGGCCGGACAACUAUUUUACUUACUAUAUUGAGAGAGUUGAGUCAGUAUCAGCAGAUAAGCAUAUCUUCAGAUUGUCUUUGACUCCCGGUUAUCUUUAGUUAUUAUAUUAUCAGUUCAGUUUCAACUUUCAGUAUAUUGCCUUACAUACUCGGUACAUUAUUUCGUACUGACAUCCUUUUUGCCUGGGGACGCUGCGUUUCAUGCCCGCGGGUCCUGAUAGAUAGAUUGAGAGUCCUCCAAGUCAGGCUAUCAGCUCAGCAGAAGAUGUUGGUGCGCUCCAUUUGCUCCGGAGUUGCUUAUUUGGUCAGUAUGACUAGGACGUAUGUUGAUUAGUAUGGCGGGGACCUGUCCCGACCUUUAUGAUACUUAUGUACUCUUAGAGGCUUGUAGACAUAUUUCAUGUACGUAAAAGAUUGUAUGGCCUUGUCGGCCUAUAUUCAGUGUACGAGUGAUCAUUUUGGUCUUAUAGGCCCGUAAGUCUUAUGUAUAAGUUGGUACUAUAUGUUUUAUUCUAGUUAUCCUACGGUAGCCUUUCUGUCUCAUUUACCUAUGUUAGCAUGAUACAAGAAGAUACGAUAUGUUGGUACUCGGUUGAGUAAGGUACCGGGUGCCCGUCGCGUCCCGUCGGUUUGGGUCGUUACAAAAUUGGUAUCAGAGCAGUUCUAUCCUAGGGAGUCUACAAGCCGUGUCUAGUAGAGUCUUGUUUAUGGGUGUGUCGUGCACCACACUUAUAAGUAGGAGGUUACAGGGCAUUUAGGACUGUCACUAUUUCUUCUUACUCUAGAUCGUGUGGUAGAGCUCAGUUCUAAGAACUCAAUUUCCUAAACUCUAUAUUUUUCAUAAUACGACGAUGCCGACAUCCAGAAAGACAGUUGGUAAGAGAUAUAAUUGUGGAAGAGUUGAGUCAGAGGAACUCAAUUUUUCAUGAUGCUUAUGAUAAGUAAAUGUAAGGUCUUCAGUAGAUCAUGUGUGUACUAAGACGUGUAAACCUCUUGAUAAGAAGCCUUAAGGCAAGAAUAUCUAUCCACCUUUAUGGUGAAAGACAAUGAGAGAUUCAGAAGAUAAAUUAAAGUUUCAACAAGCAAAAGAAGCAAGAUGAAGAAGGUACGAGACGCCCAGUUAAUGAAGGUUAAUAGUAUUUACAAUUUAGGCAGAGGAAUAUAAGCCUUUUGAGUUACCUUCAACAGUAACAGAGGUAUAUACAAUUGGCCACACCGAUCUCAAGUUAUGCCCUAUGGGAGCUAAUAUAUAUUGUUUAAGAGAAGGACGGGAUAUUAGGAUCUGGCUAGGGUUAGAGUGACCCAAAAUGAUGGGUGGAUUGUUUGCGUUAGUUGACAUUUCCGAAGGAUAUUGCAAAUGUGCUAAUAAAUCUCCUUGUGAGACACCCAGAUGGUGCACUCUAAAAUAGUACAGCUAGAUAUGAGUGCUACAGAGAUAGGCACUGGAAGCCUUGAAGGGAUAAAUAUUACCUUAGUGUGGCUCCCAUCCCUAGUAGAACGUGAAUGUUAGGCAACCCAAGAGCCAGGGGAUGGAGCAAGGGGAGAUAAAAGCAAAAGAAUGUCUUGUUGGAAUUUUGAGAAUAAAGUGAUAGACAUAGAUGUUAGCGGGAAAUAAGAAGAGAGUUAAUGAAGCAUUAUGAGUAAGAUAUGACAGUAUUACAGAGUCUAUAGUUAAGUGAAGGAAAAGAAGAGAGGUGACAGGCGUUGAGACAACAAAAGAAUAUAGGCAAUCAAGUCAUAUCCUCAUUUCGAGAAAUAAGCUCGUGACUCCAACGUGACUACCAGACGGAAAAGUUAGACCCUAGAGUAAUAGAAAUCAGUAUGGACUGGUGAACAAGAUAAACUAAACAUGAAUUAAGGACUGAGUGAUUUAAUAAUGGUCGGCAUCAUGAGAAUUUCAGAUUGCGUUCCGACGAUAAUAGAAUGGACAACAGAAGAAGAUUCAUAAGAAACUCAGAGAAAGGUAAUUCAAGAAGACGCUUCCCUAAAACAAGCAAUGUGAGCAAAGUUAAGCUUAAGGGACUGGAUGUGCCAGUUACACUAAGUGUCACCAUCACGAGUAAGUAAUUUUGUUAUCCUUAGUACAUAAGGAUUACCGCAAGGAGGCCAAAGAUGAAGAGUUAAAACAUCUAUAGGUAGGUCGUCGUAGCUCCAACUCUUAAUACUCCCCAAAAGGGGGGAAUAUGGAGUGAUGUGGCAUUAAGUCAGAAUUAAGUGAUUAUGGAAGGAAGAAUGCGAUAAAAAAUGAAAAAGGGAUGAGUUUUGACUUAUUCAAAGCCUACAGAGAUGCUACGAUUCCAGAACAUUAUGCAAACACGACGUCAAGGAAAGGAAGUAAGGGUCCCUGCCGGAGAAGUUAUUGAUAGAUAAGGAGCCAGUGCGAGACGUAAGUUAAGACAAAGGAAAUAACCCAAGAAAGAUUACGUGAAAUAUUGAUAUGAGAAUGGGCCAACGAGUAGUUAGCAGUUGAUUCAGGAAGAGCCUACUUAUGGCUAAACAGGAGGUUACAGAUAAGUCAGCAAAUCGUGCAAGAUAAACAUAGUAAAACCCAAUAUAGUGAAUUCAGCCCCGCAGUUAUGACAUUGUAAUAUUUGAGAGAUAUUCAAAUAGGAGUUGGGGUAGUUAAAUGUACCAUAUGAGUGUUACGGAGAUAAAAGAGAGUGCCACUGGAAAGACAACAAGUACAAGGGCAUAGAGGUAAGUAACUAUGGAUAAUUAUAGGCGAGUAAGGACAUCAAAAAUUCUGUCGAAUAUACGAUGUAAUAAGCUCGCAGCUUUACAAGAUUCAGAGGGUCCUCCCUAAGUACUGCAGUCAAAGACUAGUUGAGGAAAUAAGGAAGAAGGCUUCAACCUAAAUAUAGUAACUUGAAAAAUAAAUGGUCUUGUAAUAGCAGUCUCACUACAACAUUGUAUGCACUCCAUAAGAAAGUGGCACCUACCGUGGUUAAUGAACGGGGAGUAAAAAAACAAAUUGAAAGUAAUAUUCAAGAUCAUAUGAGUUGCACAGAAAUUUCGGCAUGCGUCGGGACUAAGACAAGCUAAGUAUGCACGCAACAAGGGGGCAGAAAGACCCCGAAAAGUAAUUGCUUACGUUUGAAGAAAGCUGAAAAGUAACGAAAGGAAUUAUUCGACUAAUGAACCAGAGUUAGUUACAUUAUGAACGCACUUAAGAUUUCAAAGCAUUAUCCAUGCAGUAUAUAUGUUGACAGUCAUACAACCGUAGAAGGCUCCAGUAUAAGUUAAAAGAAAGAAUUGAGCCCAGUCAUAGACAAAAGAUUAAAUUGUUAGAAGAUUGUAUCAUGGAUAUUCCAUAGCGCCCAUGAAAGGCUAAAGUAAUAACUAAUACCAGGAGCCACAGAUCGGAAGAAAGCUUAAGCCUACAUAAUGGUUGAUCAGAAGGAAGAGGAAACUAAAGAGUUACCUUAAUGAAGUAAAUCAGAAGUCUGAUUAUUGGACCCAGAAAAUUAUAGAAAUCGUGAUUGAGAACAUUGCAGAAUCACUUUUAAUAUCAAAGGUACAAGAGAGAUAGUACAACAAUAAUAUUAUAUAACGGCUCUACGAGAAAGCGAGUUAGAAGAGUACCAUCCUCAUAAGAAGUCAAUAUGAAGCUCCCAUCAGAUUGUGUAUGCACCAGAGGUGCAAGUAUUAUAAGAGAGCUUCAAGUUGUGGAUGU